GUGGGGAAUUUUGGACAAUGGGCGCAAGCCUGAUCCAGCCAUGCCGCGUGAGUGAAGAAGGCCUUCGGGUUGUAAAGCUCUUUCGGCGGGGAAGAAAUGGCAACGGCUAAUAUCUGUUGUUGAUGACGGUACCCGCAUAAGAAGCACCGGCUAACUACGUGCCAGCAGCCGCGGUAAUACGUAGGGUGCGAGCGUUAAUCGGAAUUACUGGGCGUAAAGCGUGCGCAGGCGGUUGUGUAAGUCAGAUGUGAAAUCCCCGGGCUCAACCUGGGAACUGCAUUUGAGACUGCACGGCUAGAGUGUGACAGAGGGGGGUAGAAUUCCACGUGUAGCAGUGAAAUGCGUAGAGAUGUGGAGGAAUACCGAUGGCGAAGGCAGCCCCCUGGGUUACUACUGACGCUCAUGCACGAAAGCGUGGGGAGCAAACAGGAUUAGAUACCCUUGUAGUCC
rnacentral:rRNA from 1 species